rnacentral:rRNA from 1 species
UACGUAGGGUGCGAGCGUUAAUCGGAAUUACUGGGCGUAAAGCGUGCGCAGGCGGUUCGUUGUGUCGGCGGUGAAAGCCCCGGGCUUAACCUGGGAAUGGCCGUUGAAACUGGCGAACUGGAGUGUGGCAGAGGGGGGUGGAAUUCCGCGUGUAGCAGUGAAAUGCGUAGAGAUGUGGAGGAAUACCGAUGGCGAAGGCAGCCCCCUGGGUCAAUACUGACGCUCAUGCACGAAAGCGUGGGGAGCAAACAGG